CAGCGCCAUGGCGCCGGCGGGGGCCGGCCCCGGGACCCUGAACCUCCGUUCCCUGCACCGGAAUUCCCCUCAGCCUCCAUUCCUGGGCACUGAGAUCUUCCUUCAUCGUCUUCUCCGGCACCAGGACCCCCCUCAGCCUGGCACCUGGAUCUCUGUCAAUCCCCAGUCCUGGCCACUGGACACCCGCUGCAACUUCUUCCCCAGCACACGGCCCCUUAUCCGGCAGCGGAAUCCCCCCCAUAGCCCAUCUUCCUGCCCAAUCUCGUCCCAGACAUCUUGUCUCUCCCAGCCCCCUCCGUUUUCCUUGACCUCAAGAGUCUCUCUGGAUCCCCAUUUCUACCUUUCGCAGCCCCCACCACCCCCUUCUGCAACACUGGGGAACCCCAGAAUCCCCAUUGCCGACCAUCCCGGGUCUCCCCACCUUGUGACACCCCCUUCUCCUUUCCUUGAGCUUGUGGACUCCUGCGACCCUCCUUUCCUGAGCACAGUGACUCCUGGAACCCACAUCCCACCUUUUCUAGUGCCUCGAGUUCCGUGCAUGGGUGCCUCCCUGCACCCCUUUAUCUGGCACCAGGACCCCCCUGCACCCCGACUGCCAGCCAUCCCACCUCUCCCAGUCCCCAGACCUCCCCUUUUCCUUGGCCCUGGGACCUCGAGGAGCUCCAUUUCUGGCUUUGCCAACCCCAAUCCCAAUCUUCCGCAGUGCUGAGGGCCCCUGAGGAUCCCAUGGUCUCCACCCUGUGACCUGCCUCUCCCUGACACUGGGAGCUCCUGAAGCCUCCUUUCCUGUGCACAGAGAUGCUGGAUCCCCCAUCCCACCUCUCCAAGUCCCCUUUCCUUGACCCUGGGACCCCCUUGAACCUCUUAAUCCCCCUUCCCUGGCACCAGGACCCCACUGAAGCCCCAUUUCUUGGCACAGGGCCCCCUUUGUGCCCCCUUUUCCUGCACCAGUCCCCCGCACCCAACAGAGAUGCCUUUUUCCCAGGCAUCUCACUUUACCCAGCCUCCAGAUCCCCCCUUUUCUUUGGACCCUGGACCUCCAUUCUUGCCUUUCCCAGCCCUCUCUGUUCCUCAACAGUAAGGAUUCCCAGGACCCUCCUUCCUUCCCAUCUUGGGUCUCCCCACAACUCUCCUUUUCUUGACCCUGGGAUCCCCAAACCCUCUUCCUGGCUUUCCCAGCUCUCCCACUUCUCACUUUACUCUCUCUGUGAGCUCCCCAUGGUCCAUCAGCCUCUCAUCAUGGGUCCCCCCAGGCCUCCCAAACACCUCUGUGUCUCCCCAGUUCUCCACUCCCUGCGUUACCUGUGAGUGCUGCUGUUGGAGCCCAUCCCAAUGUGUGUCCACAGGGAUCUGGAUGGGACACCUUCGAGCACUGUGACAGCAAGCAGGGAGGGACGGAGCCACACAUGCCAGGCAUGGCUGCUGGAACUGAGCCAAGAUAUUGGGAUAGCAUGACCUGGAUCAACAAGUCCCCACAGGCUGCAGCCACUUUCUGGCUGUGACCUCCUGUCCGAUGAGAGCAUCUGCAGAACCCUCUGGUCCGGAACAAUUUGUGGGAAUUCCUCUCCUUCACCCUGGAGACCAGGAGCUUUGUGGUGGCCAAGGGCGCCGCCCAGAUCACCCAGAAAUCCAAAUCCAGAAACUGGAAAUCCAAAGGGUACAAGGCUCAUUUGCAUGACCUGGGACAGACCUGUGUGGAAUGGCUCUGGAAUUAUACUGGAUACAGAUGGGAGGCACAAAGAGACCUGUGUCUGUGGCAUCCCAUCUCACACCACCAGUCCGGUAUCUCCACAGGGGAUUUCUGCCCUGGGGCAGCCGUGUGGCGAUGUUGACACUCCAGAGCACGGCCACUAGAGCUGGUGUGCGAAGGCGUUUGGAACUGCAUGGACACUG